rnacentral:SRP_RNA from 1 species
GCUGGGCAUGGUGGGGCAUGCCUGUAAUCCCAGCUACUCGGGAGGCUGAGGCAGGAGAAUUGCUUGAACUCGGGAGGUAGAGGCUGCAGUGAGCCGAAAUCGCGCCACUGCACUCCAGCCUGAGUGAUGGAGCAAGACUCUGUCUCAG